GGUGAGAUGGCCGAGCGGUCUAAGGCGCUGCACUCAAGCGAAAAAGCUUGCCCCUUCUGGGGGUCAGUCUUGCAGUCUCAGUAAUGGGGCGCGAGUUCAAAUCUCGCUCUCAUCA